GGAUAACCUACCUAUAAGACUGGGAUAACUUCGGGAAACCGGAGCUAAUACCGGAUAAUAUUUUGAACCGCAUGGUUCAAAAGUGAAAGACGGUCUUGCUGUCACUUAUAGAUGGAUCCGCGCUGCAUUAGCUAGUUGGUAAGGUAACGGCUUACCAAGGCAACGAUGCAUAGCCGACCUGAGAGGGUGAUCGGCCACACUGGAACUGAGACACGGUCCAG
rnacentral:rRNA from 1 species